rnacentral:rRNA from 1 species
AGUGAACGCUGGCGGUAGGCCUAACACAUGCAAGUCGAACGGCAGCACAGUAAGAGCUUGCUCUUACGGGUGGCGAGUGGCGGACGGGUGAGGAAUACAUCGGAAUCUACUUUUUCGUGGGGGAUAACGUAGGGAAACUUACGCUAAUACCGCAUACGACCUACGGGUGAAAGCAGGGGAUCUUCGGACCUUGCGCGAUUGAAUGAGCCGAUGUCGGAUUAGCUAGUUGGCGGGGUAAAGGCCCACCAAGGCGACGAUCCGUAGCUGGUCUGAGAGGAUGAUCACCCACACUGGAACUGAGACACGGUCCAGAGUCCUACGGGAGGCAGCAGUGGGGAAUAUUGGACAAUGGGCGCAAGCCUGAUCCAGCCAUACCGCGUGGGUGAAGAAGACCUUCGGGUUGUAAAGCCCUUUUGUUGGGAAAGAAAAGCAGCAGGUUAAUACCCCGCUGUUCUGACGGUACCCAAAGAAUAAGCACCGGCUAACUUCGUG